AUCCCCUCCAUGCAUCAGCCUGGUAUUGCAGUGCUUCUUUCUUAUCAGUUUAAUCGCUGAUACGUCCUCGAUGUGAGGACCGACGCAUUAAACGCAUUUUUGGUGCUGGGAGCGGGCCUCGGAGCUUGCUCCAGCCCCUCCAUGCAUCGGCCCAGUAUUACAGUGCCUCUUUCUUUCUUUCUUUUUCU